rfam:Triticum urartu cultivar G1812 contig361313, whole genome shotgun sequence.
GUAGUACUUCCUCCGUCUGGAAUUACUUGUCGCAAAAAUAAAUGUAUCUAGACGUAUUUUAGUCCAGAUACAUUCAUUUUCGCGAUAAGUAAUUCUGAACGGAGAAAGUAUAAU